GAUGAACUCUGGCGGCGUGCUUAACACAUGCAAGUCGAACGGACUUUAUCUGAAGCCUAGCGAAGAUAAAGUUAGUGGCGGACGGGUGAGUAACGCGUGGGUAACCUGCCGUAUACCGGGGGACAACAGUUGGAAACGACUGCUAAUACCGCAUAAGCGCACAGUUUCGCAUGGAACGGUGUGAAAAACUCCGGUGGUAUACGAUGGACCCGCGUCUGAUUAGCUUGUUGGCGGGGUAACGGCCCACCAAGGCGACGAUCAGUAGCCGGCCUGAGAGGGUGAACGGCCACAUUGGGACUGAGACACGGCCCAAACUCCUACGGGAGGCAGCAGUGGGGAAUAUUGCACAAUGGGGGAAACCCUGAUGCAGCGACGCCGCGUGAGUGAAGAAGUAUUUCGGUAUGUAAAGCUCUAUCAGCAGGAAAGAAAAUGACGGUACCUGACUAAGAAGCCCCGGCUAACUACGUGCCAGCAGCCGCGGUAAUACGUAGGGGGCAAGCGUUAUCCGGAUUUACUGGGUGUAAAGGGAGCGUAGACGGCAAUGCAAGUCUGAAGUGAAAGCCCGCGGCUUAACUGCGGGACUGCUUUGGAAACUGUGUGGCUGGAGUGCAGGAGAGGUAAGUGGAAUUCCUAGUGUAGCGGUGAAAUGCGUAGAUAUUAGGAGGAACACCAGUGGCGAAGGCGGCUUACUGGACUGUAACUGACGUUGAGGCUCGAAAGCGUGGGGAGCAAACAGGAUUAGAUACCCUGGUAGUCCAUGCAGUAAACGAUGAUUACUAAGUGUCUGGAUUUUAGAUCUGGGUGCUAAAGCUAACGCGUUAAGUAAUCCGCCUGAGUAGUACGACCGCAAGGUUAAAACUUAAAGGAAUUGACGGGGACCCGCACAAGCGGUGGAACACGUGGUUUAAUUCGAUAGUCCGCGAAAAACCUUACCAACCCUUGACAUCUCGAUCAUAGGAAUCAGAAAUGAUUUUUUCAGUUCGGCUGGAUCGAAGACAGGUGUUGCAUGGCCGUCGUCAGCUCGUGCCGUGAGGUGUUAGGUUAAGUCCUUUAACGAGCGCAACCCUUGCCUCUAUUUGCCAGCGGGUAAUGCCGGGAACUAUAGAGGGACUGUUGGUGAUAAACCAAAGGAAGAUGGGGAUGAGGUCAGGUCAUCACGACCCUUAUGGGUUGGGCUACACAUAUGUUACAAUGGAAGCUACAAAGGGACACAAAGAAGUGAUUCUGAGUAAAUCCUAAAAAGCUUUCCCAGUUCGGAUUGUAGGCUGCAAUUCGCCUGCAUGAAGUUGGAAUCGCUAGUAAUCGUAGAUCAGCACGCUACGGUGAAUACGUUCUCGGGUC
rnacentral:rRNA from 1 species